UCAGGACGAACGCUGGCGGCGUGCCUAACACAUGCAAGUCGAGCGAGGAGAUCCUUCGGGAUGAUCCUAGCGGCGGACGGGUGAGUAACACGUGGGCAACCUGCCUCAUAGAGAGGAAUAGCCUUCCGAAAGGGAGAUUAAUACCUCAUAACAUUGCAGUUUCGCAUGGAACAGCAAUUAAAGGAGUAAUCCGCUAUGAGAUGGGCCCGCGGCGCAUUAGCUAGUUGGUGAGGUAACGGCUCACCAAGGCGACGAUGCGUAGCCGACCUGAGAGGGUGAUCGGCCACAUUGGGACUGAGACACGGCCCAGACUCCUACGGGAGGCAGCAGUGGGGAAUAUUGCACAAUGGGGGAAACCCUGAUGCAGCCAACGCCGCGUGAGUGAUGACGGCCUUCGGGUUGUAAAGCUCUGUCUUCAGGGACGAUAAUGACGGUACCUGAGGAGGAAGCCACGGCUAACUACGUGCCAGCAGCUGC
rnacentral:rRNA from 1 species